rnacentral:snRNA from 1 species
AUACUUACCUGGCAGGGGAAAUACCAUGAUCAUGAAGGUGGUUUUCCCAGGGCGAAGCUUAUCCAUUGCACUCCGGAUGUGCUGACCCCUGCAAUUUCUCCAAAUGUGGGAAACUAAAUUGCAUAAUUUGUGGUAGUGGGGGACUGCAUUCACACUCUCUCU